rnacentral:rRNA from 1 species
UACGUAGGGACCGAGCGUUGUCCGGAAUCAUUGGGCGUAAAGAGCGUGUAGGCGGCCACUUAAGUCCUGCGUGAAAUCCUGCGGCUCAACCGCAGGCGGUCGUGGGAAACUGUGUGACUUGAGUACGGAAGAGGAGAGUGGAAUUCCCGGUGUAAUGGUGAAAUGCGUAGAUAUCGGGAGGAACACCAGUGGCGAAGGCGACUACCUGGCCUGUUCUUGACGCUGAGGCGCGAAAGCUAGGGGAGCAAACGGG